AGAGUUUGAUCCUGGCUCAGGAUGAACGCUAGCGGCAGGCUUAAUACAUGCAAGUCGAACGGUAACAGGUCCAGCAAUGGAUGCUGACGAGUGGCGAACGGGUGCGUAACACGUGUGCAACUUACCUUUAACAGGAGGAUAGCUCCGAGAAAUUGGAAUUAAUACUCCGUAACAUUAUGAAACGGCAUCGUUUUAUAAUUAAAGCUCCGGUGGUUAAAGAUAGGCACGCGAAACAUUAGCUAGUUGGCGAGGUAACGGCUCACCAAGGCCACGAUGUUUAGGGGUUCUGAGAGGAUUAACCCCCACACUGGUACUGAGACACGGACCAGACUCCUACGGGAGGCAGCAGUAAGGAAUAUUGGUCAAUGGACGCAAGUCUGAACCAGCCAUGCCGCGUGAAGGAUGACAGCCCUAUGGGUUGUAAACUUCUUUUAUACAGGAAAAAACCUUUCGACGUGUCGGGAGCUGAUGGUACUGUAAGAAUAAGGAUCGGCUAACUCCGUGCCAGCAGCCGCGGUAAUACGGAGGAUCCAAGCGUUAUCCGGAUUUAUUGGGUUUAAAGGGUGCGUAGGCGGAUUGGUAAGUCAGUGGUGAAAUCCUACAGCUUAACUGUAGAACUGCCAUUGAUACUAUUAGUCUUGAGUACAAUUGAAGUGGGCGGAAUGUGUCAUGUAGCGGUGAAAUGCAUAGAGAUGACACAGAACACCGAUAGCGAAGGCAGCUCACUAAACUGUAACUGACGCUGAGGCACGAAAGCGUGUGGAUCAAACAGGAUUAGAUACCCUGGUAGUCCACGCCGUAAACGAUGAUUACUCGAUGUGUGCGAUA
rnacentral:rRNA from 1 species